rnacentral:lncRNA from 1 species
GGCGUUGUGGGGGGUUGAUGUUCCCUGUGAGGGAUGGGAGCCUCGUGGAGCCGCUGGUCAUGGAGGCCUUCUGCAUAGGUAGCCCUGGAGGAAUGGGGGAGGGAGGGGCGAGACCUUUAGCAUUGUGUUCGAUGUCCCCAGGGACUCCCAAAGGUGUGGACUUCACAACUGUGAAAAAUCUUCUGCUGUCCGUGGAUGGUGUGGAAGCCUUACACAGCCUGCAUAUCUGGGCGCUGACAGUGGCCCAGCCCGUGCUGUCUGUCCACAUAGCCAUUGCCCAGAAUGUUGAUGCCCAGGCUGUGCUGAAGGUGGCUAGGGACCGCCUCCAGGGGAAGUUCAAUUUCCACACCAUGACCAUCCAAAUUGAGAGCUACUCUGAGGACAUGAAGAGCUGCCAGGAGUGCCAGGGUCCCUCGGAAUAACUCCCUGGCCAGACACCAUCUCAUUGGAAGUAUGGCCAAGACCUGAGGGCAGAAUAGUCCGUGUGCAGCCGGGACCCCAGGAUCAAGACAUGGCCUGGUCCACUACACCAUGGGACUCUCCUAGGAUGGGGACAUAGCAGACGAGGCCCCACUUCUCUUUCAGGACUGUGUUUAGGCUGGAUCCUGGACUAAUGUUAUGCUCACACCACAGCUGGAGAGACACUGAGGCGCAGAAAGGGAUUUUGGGGUGUCCUUGUAUAAGCCAGGGUCUCUGUCUGAACCAAAAGUUGAACAAGAUCCACGUGUCACGU